CAUUUGGAAGUGGAACGUAUCUUAAAGCUUAAAGUUGUGUGCUGUCAUCUGUCAUGUGUUGUGUCAGUGUCAACAUUUGUUGUUAUGAGUUUGAUAAUUUUUAGCAAAAAGUGUUGACUGUUGUGUACGUGCUAAAUGCUUUAGGUUUUUUCUUAAGUGUAAAAUAACUGUGAUUUCUUUCCUGCAAGAUACAACUAUGUUAUGAAGUGUAACCAGUAGAAAAAUAAUUGCUGUGUAAAAGUUAUAAUUUAUAUGCACGAGGCAGUUGUAUAACCGAGGUGUUUAACAAAUGGUGAUGGCCACGGGUGGCGUGUGUCAACAAGUUGCCGGUGUUGGCCUGCCUCACGAGAUGGGUGAAGACAAAGAGGAGGCUGCUUCGAAGGCGAUGGUGCUCCACGAGCGACUCGUGGCCUACGUACACGCACUGGCCGGCGGACACGAGCCGCGCUGCGGGGUGUGGGUGGAGCACUCGUACGCGCGCGCGCGCGGCGCCGCCACCGGACCCACGCACUCCGUGCGCGUGCUACUGGCGCCGCGCCCCGCGCCCGACUCCGCGCCGCUCGACGUGGAGCGCCUCGAGCCCGCGCCGCCCGACCUGCCCGACGACGACGAGGCGCUGCGACUGCUCGCGGACGACGACGCCGACGGGGAAGACGACGACUGGGAGGCGCGCCUCACCGCCGCGGCGCCCACGGCCGCGCACGCGCGCCUCGCCGACUCCGUGCUGGACAUCCUGCGGCGCGCGCGCCUCGAGCUGCUGGCGGGCGGCCGCGCCGGCGACUCCGUGCGCACCGCCGCGCGCCGCCUGCGGCUGGCACUGGCCGCGCCCCCGCGCCCCCGCACACUCCGCAGCCGUGCUGCGCCCCGCUGCUUGGCUGCAGGCGCAGCUACCGCGCGGUCCGCGCAGAUUGUACGAGGCGGCGUUAGCCCGUCUGCGCCGCGUCGCUCCGCGCCUGGCUGAGCGCGUCACGGGCACCCAAGGGCCGGUGGCGAGUGACAGUGUGUUGAGUGAAGUGGGCGCGAGCGUGGGCGAGGGCGCGGCGGGCGCGCCCUGGUUGCUGUGGGUGAGCUGCGGCCGGCCGCGGCAGGACGAGCGCUGGCUGCGGCGCCUGGGGGCGCUGAUACACACACGCCUGGUGACGGCGGGCGCCGGGGGCGCAGCGCUGGCGCCCGAGGCGUGGUGCGGCGCGGUAGCGGGCGGGCUGCGCGCAGCGCUGACGGCGGCGCUGGGCGCGGCGGGCGAGCGGCCCGUGGUGCUGGGCGGGCUGGGCGCGGGCGCGACGCUGGCGGCGGCGCUGGCUGGGGGCACGCGCGCGCGGGCGCUGGUGCUGCUGGCGCCGGCGCUGGUGACGGCGGAGGGCGCGCGCGAGGCGGCGGACGAGGCGGGGGGCGCGCGCCUGCCGGUGCUGGUGGUGUGCGGGGCGGGGGGCGCGCAGUGCUGGCGGGGCGCGGCGCGCGACGUGUCGCGGCGCGUGCUGGAGCUGCGCGGCGCGGACGACUGGCUGCGGCUGGGGGCGGGGGCGCGGCGCCGGCGCCGCCUGCCGCAGCACGCGGUGGACGCGGCCGUGGCGGAGGAAUGCGCACGCUGGAUACUGGACGUGGCCCUGAGCGGGGGCGGGGGCGCGACUGGGGGCACAGGGGCGGGUACGCGGCGCCGCGAGGGGCGCGGUCUGCUACGGGUGCUGGGGGCGCCAGAAGAGGAGGACGAGGACUUCGCACACUUACCGAGCGCGGCGCCGGCACCUUCCACUCCCACCGGACCUCUACCCUCCGUCAGCGAGCGGGGCGGGGACGCCGCGCUAGUGUCGCGCGGGUGUGGCGCCACGCCCCUCGCCCUGCUGCCGCCGCGGCGCCGCGCCUCGCCGCCGGCCGCGGGGGCGCGGGGGCUGCCGGGGGCGCGGGGGGCGCGGCCGAGCUGGGCGCCGCGGACAUCAUGCGGCUGCCCAUCGUGUUCGCGGACGACGAGGCGGCGCUGGAAGCCGACGCGGGCGCCAGCCCCGUCACCGUCACGUCGGGCUCGCGCUACACGCGCGUCAUCGUAGCGUCGCGCGGCCCCGUGCGGCCCGGCCGGGGCCCCGGCCGCUCUGUGGGCCCCGUGCGCCCGGUGUUACUACGUCGGGGCUUGAGGCUGGUGCCACGCAACGCCACUCCGCCGCAGUGAUCAGCCGGGCCCCACAGUGACCAGCCGGGCCCCACAGUGAACUGCUGAACCCCGCGCCAGUGAACUGAAUAGCAAGAUCCCAAAAGACAUUUUCAUGCUCAGCAUUUAUGAUAAAUUUUGUAUAAUUUGAAAUUGGUACCUAAAUAAUUAAUAAUAAAUAAUUAAUAUGUAAUAAUUUGAUUCGUUUUACUUUUGAUGCGUUUUAACUACGAUCCCAAACCGCUCGCCGACUUACCUGACAUUUGAUAAUAUAUCAUAGUUAAUGUUUAGAAUAAAAAUAUGUCUUGGUUGUGAAAAUAAGUAUAGUAAGUUACCCAAAUAAGGCCUAUGCCCCAAUAAAGCCUAUUUUGAAAAUUUCCCUCUUCCCGAUUUCAAAUGGUCGCCAAAGUUUGUAGAAGUGUGCAUGCACGUUACUUAACUAAUUUGAGCACAGCAAGCAACCGGUGCCGCGAUUGUAUUGGAACCUACAGUCGAAAACAAUCACGACGUGGAGCGCACUUUAGUUUUUAUAAAAUUCGAGUAGCGUAAACUGUUAGUAUUUUUAUAUUUAUCAGUAUACGACUUGCCGUGUUUUGUCUGUAUGACAAUUAUACAUUUAGUCAUCCCCUCACAUAAGUGAAAUAGCUAUAAUAUCGGUGUAUUUCAUAUAAUCGUUGUUUUGUUUACCUAUGUGCCAUGCCCUAAUAAAGCCUACAAAAAAAACGUGUAGGCCUUAUUACGGCAUAGUUGUUUUUCAGUAAUCUCAUAGAAAACGGAUCACCAGCUUAUGUCAAAAAGAAAGCCAAUGGAUUUUGCAAAAGAUGGAAAACGCUGUUAAAAUGGUAGAAAGGGGUAAACGGGGUGAAUAGAUACAGAAAAGGGGUGAAUAGAUACAGAAAAGGGGUGAAUGGAUAUAGGGAAAUUCUUCAUAGUAUCUAUUCAACCUUCGAAUUUUAUGCACCCUGUUUUACCCGGUAGGCUGCUGCAGCCAGAUAUAACUUCCAAAGAAGUACGCACCAUCUAAAGAGUGGUUCGACUACACGAAAGCUAGGUCGGUCGCUAAAUUGGCUACAGAACAAGAAGUUAUUCUCAUUCGUUUGACUGAUGCUGGGGUACCGAUGACUUCAAAGAUGUUACUUGGGUAUUACAUGAUGAGAAACUCGUUUAGCCUGAUGUAUAAUGACCAAAAUUAAUUAAUAAGAUCUCAUUACAUUUAUUAUAAGCAUUGACAAAGUUUUGUUAUAAUUAAUAAAUAAAUAAAUAAAAAAUAAAUUGUAUACUUUAGUUAUUUCCAUAUGGUAUGUCAUAUGGUAUUCUCCUGUGGGGGAAUGCUGCUGACAUUCAGUCUGUCUUUGUGCUGCAGAAGCGAGCCAUUCGAUCAAUUUAUAAUCUUAGUCCGAGGCAUUUUCUCAGGGAACUAUUUAAAGAAAUUAAUAUAAUGACUGUUGCCUCUCAAUAUAUCUAUGAAAAUAUAGUGUAUGCUCAUAAAAACAUAAAAUUAUUUAAAAAGUACAGUGAUAUACACAAUAUCAACACUAGAAAUAAAAAUAAAUAUGUUGUUCCUACUACUAGACUUAAGAAAAUAAGCGGUUCGUUUAGAUGUCAAUGUAUACGCUUUUACAAUAAAGUUCCCAGCCAUAUUCAAAGUUUAAACCUAAGUAAAUUUAAAAAUGUUAUUAAAGAAAAACUAUGUAGUAAAGCUUUUUAUAAAAUAAAAGACUACUUGGAGGAUAGUCAGGCUUGGGAAUGAACUGCUAUAAUGUCCACACAGGUCUUGCUGACAUGUUUGUAACAUAUAGUUACAUUUUUUAUACAAUUUGACAUUGUUUUUAUAUAUAUUUUUUUCCUUUUAUAAUUUUAUAUUUCCUUUUAAAAUUGUUAGUUUGAGGACCGUGUGAGACUUUUGCUAGUCAUUUUAUUUUUAGUAAAUUAUAUUCUGACAGUUUGAGCAUUUGUGUGGCCUACCCAAAUGUUCUUUUGGUUGGUGUUGUUCGUCGGAUCAUUCAGCAACAGCCGUCAGCUGAGCUGAUUGUAAACUGACACAUGCGUGCUGCCAUCUGAACAGGUCCGCUCAAACUGCUGUGGUUCUUUCCUCAAAAGACCACUACAGAAUCAACUUGCACGGUUCUCCGACAUCUUUAAUUGAUUUUGUCUGGACUUUAAAAGAGACUAUGACCUCUGAGUUUGUUUCGGCAUUUCUUCUCAGAGUAGUCGGAUAGGAAAUGCCGGCCUCAUCUAGUUAUUUAAGAGAUUGACGUGUAAAAGUGUUAUUUUAUAACCUAUUUGCAAAAUAAAUAUCAUUUAUCAUUAAGAA